CAGGUGGAGUUGAACUGCAAGCUCUGGGAAUUCAGCUGAUGAGUGUGAUUUGUGCUUGGGCAUACUGGCCGCCUUUAGUGUCUGCUUAACCGCAGGUGCCUGCCUUUUUGGUGGGUAUGUGUGAAUCGUUUACAUACGACGCACGCACUGUUGGUGUGAGGGUCUGCUUGUCAGUGCACUUUCUCAGGGUGUUCACCACGACCGGCACUGCUGCCUGUCUGCUAUGGCCAAACUGAUCAGGUCUGAUUUCCGUCAGUCUUGGUUGGGUCGGCAGGUGACUCUUUGGCUCAUCUAUGGGCUGUGAGUGUUACUAGCCGGCUGUAGCGGASSUGUGCGGUGUGUCGGAGAUGGCGGCUUCGCAUGCGUGCCUAGACCUUCGGGCGUUGUUGAGUCUGGUCGGCUCGUUACUAGCUUCGGCUGGUCGGCUGAUGGCUUGAUUUUGUCACGUUGGCGGUUGCGUGUGUGGUUUGCGUUGGGCCAAUAGUCUGUGGUGUAGUGGUAGACGAUCCACCUGA
rnacentral:rRNA from 1 species